GACGAACGCUGGCGGCGUGCUUAACACAUGCAAGUCGAACGGAAAGGCCCUGCUUGCGUGGGGUUCUCGAGUGGCGAACGGGUGAGUAACACGUGUGUAACCUGCCCUUGACUUUGGGAUAACUUCAGGAAACUGGGGCUAAUACCGGAUAGGAGCUCCUGCUGCAGGGUGGGGGUUGGAAAUUUUGGGCGGGUGGGGAUGGACGCGCGGCUUAUCAGCUUGUUGGUGGGGUAGUGGCUUACCAGGGCGUUGGCGGGUAGCCGGCCUGAGAGGGUGACCGGCAACAUUGGGACUGGGAUCGGCCCAAGCCUCCUACGGGGGGAAGAGGUGGGAAAUAUGGCAAAAUGGGCGGAGGCCUAAUGAAGCAACGCCGGGUGCGGGAUGACGGCCUUGGGGUUGUAACCCGCUUUCGCAUGUGCCGAAGCGUGAGUGACGGUACUGAGUAAAGAAGCACCGGCUAACUACGUG
rnacentral:rRNA from 1 species